ensembl:lncRNA
CGCGGCCGGGGGCUGAGCCGGGGGAGGCGGAGUGCGGGCCAGCCGGGCGCUGCAGGUCGGCGCGGCGCGGGGCGGGCGGCCGGCGGGCGCGGGGCGGGGCGGGGCGGUGCAGCCGGCGAGGGAGCCCGGAACUCCGCGGGGGCCGAGGGGCCGGCGACCGGCCCCGAGCGGCGGCGGCGGCGGCGGCUGCAGCCGAGCGGCGCGUGGGCCCAGGGGCUUUCCAGCCCUGGGGCCGGCGCGGCUGGCCGGGGAGCAGCCUGGCAGCGGCAGCGGCGGCAGUGGCAGCCACCCCGGGGAAAGAGCCGGGGGAGGGCGGGGAGGCGGGGUGAAGAGGAGGAGGAGGAGAAGGAAGGGGAGGAGGGCGGGCGGAAUAAACUUCCCGAGGCGCUACGGCACGGGCUGAGAGGACAGCCGCGGGCGGGGCGGGCGCGCCGGGUGCGGGCUUGCCCGGGGGCGGCGGGGGAGACGGUCACAGAGAGUCGCAAAGUUCCCCCAGCGCCGAGGGGGAGGCUGCGGUGGCGGCGGCGGCGGCUGCAAAGAGUAGGAGCCGGAGCGGGAGGAGCGGGAGGAGGAGGAGAAGGAAGUGGCUGCGGAGCGCUCGGCCAAUGAGUGUCUGGAGCUGUGAUUAACCAGGCAGCAACACAUCAUUUCCUCCCGGCGCGGAUCCAGGGAGCCGGGAGGGAGAGGGAAGGCGGCGGGGCGGGGCUGGCCCCGCGCCCCCUGCAGGCUCCCGGCCGGGGGCGAGCCCGCCGAGCCCCGCCGAGCCUGACCCGGCCGCCCCCGGCGCGCCCCCGCGCUGUCUGGCUGGCCCGGCGGAGGCCGCGAGCGCGCCGCCCGCAGGGCUCCUCGGGCGGCGGGGAGGCGGCGGGGCAGGCCCGAGCCGGGCUCCCCGCGGCCGGGGUGGGAGGAGGAGAGGCCGCGCGGCGCGGGUGAGUGCCCAGGUAGGGCGCGGGCGGGGCCGUCUGGACAGCUCCCGGGGCACGCGGGGCGGGCGGGCGGGCCGCCUCCCGGGCCCGGGCCUGCGGGCGGCGCGCGGCUGCAGUCCUGCUUGUCCGACUUAGGCUGGCUUCUCCCAGAGCAGCCUCAGCAGUCUCAUCCAGGCCCUUUCUGACCUGCCUUCAAAUCCCCUUCCACUUUGCUCAUUUCCUCGCAAGCUCUGGGGAUCUGUAAAAGCUUGCCACCUUCGCAGUCGGCCUCCUUAGUAAUAAAAAUAUGCGUGGGGGGGCUUCUACAAUAAUCUAGCCCUGUCCUAGGCGCCGUGGGCGCUCACAGUGGCAAGGAAGGAACAUAACCCGCCUCAGAGAGGCUAACAACCUCGGUCCUUAGAUGCACAAAAACACUGCAGAGUGCUAAUGUUAUCCAGAGCAUCAAAAAGGCAUGCGAGGAUCAAAUUUUGCGUGGUGUCUACUAAGUGUAAGGAAAGCACCAAGCCAUUUUCUCUGCCCUCUGGAAGCUUAGAAUGUACAGUCCUAUCACCAAGCAAACUAAAAGCAUGAAACCAAUAAAUGGGAAUACAGUAAAGUAUUUUUAUCUCUACAGGUUCAUUCAUGCAGCAGGCAUUUAUUGGGUGACUGUCUGCAGUACUGCAAAAGGUUGCACAGGAAAUGGAAGAUCUGGUCCCUGCAGCAAUACCCGCAAAAACUUCAAUAAAGCUAAAGGAGAUGCUGAAGAGGAGGAGAAGGUAGCCCAGAAUGGAUCUGUAACUUCCCAGGAAGGAUGUCUCCAAAAUGACAUUUUUAUUGAACGCUUCCUAUCAAAUACUAGAGCAUCCUCCAAAUUGUUCAUGCUUUCCCAAACCCGGAUCCAUGCCUGCGUGGGAAUCAAAAGCCUGCGAUAAGAGCCGCCUUGAGCAAGUCAACCUGACUCCAGCUUUCUCUUGGGUGAAGAGAACACCACAAACACCAGGAUCUCUGGCCAGCUCCCGGACUGUGGAACUUUAUACAUCCUUCGUUUCUCCUGGUGGCCUUCCCCGUAAAUUUAACGUUUAUCUCUCCACCAUGCAGAGAUGCUUGGUGGGCAAUGUGGAGUAUAUUUUUACAGCUUUGGUUUUUCUUUUAACUGUGAAGUUGUCACUAGCCUGCAGGAAAUGCGAUGCCAAAAGGAAGGGGAGUGGAUCCCUUCCAGACCUCUACAACUUUCAGAUUAUACUAAACCAGGAGCAAAAACCCUCUUUAGCAUUUGAAAGGGAAGGCAAUUGUAUUACUAAACCUCACUCAACCGCCUCCAGACUUUACUCAGCCAGAGAACAAAGGGAGAAAAGCAAACAUCACUUCACACCCUUAUUCAGGGGAGGUUAAAAGAGACCUCCCACUAUACAAAAGUCCUCUAAAGGUCAGUUUGGGAGUGUAUUGAGGAGGAAGGCACUGGCCAGGGAACAAAAUGUUUACCAUCACUCUUGGGCAGGCUGCUUCUGUUUUCCUUUCAGCACGUGCAUGGGGUACAUCUGUCAGAAUUGGACAUUUUCAUCCCUGAUUAGCUUGCUGGUGGUCAAAUUAUACUUGCUUGGCCCUCUUCAGUCUUUUUCAGAUUCUUGAUUCCAGUUGCACUAAGAAAGCAGGGCCACCCUGAGCCAAGACAACUCCCUGGUGAUGAUUGUUCAUUUAUAUUCAUCAAGUCAACAGGUAAUCAUUGAACGGGUAACAAGCACUAUACUAGGCGCUGGAAGGAUGGAACAAUGUGAGAGCUGAGGCUGUAGUCUUAGAGCUUCAAUUCAAUGGGAGAAGAAUGACAUUAAACAAUGAAACACACACUUCAUUAUUUAAGUACAACAGUGAUAAAUAUUUGAAGGAGCACACUGUGCCAAGAGAGCUUAACAUGAGAGUGGCCGACUUCACAUGGGCUGUAAGAGAGGGGGUUUCUUUCAGGAACGGAAGGAGUAGGAGUUAGCUGUGAGCCAGGGCAGUUGAGAUUCUGCUGGGUGGGGGUGGGAGCAGCAGGCAAAAACUCUCUGACUGGGAAAAAAUAUGGCCUGGCACAGGAAUUGGAAGAAGACUAACGUGGCUGGAGCCUAGAGGGCAGAAUGGGGCUGGAGACUAGGCAGGAGGGGAACUUCCACAGGGCUUUGUAUUCUGCAGGCUUUUGCUUUCUAUCUCCAAAGCAAUGGGGAGCUAGUUAUGGGAUUUAAUGAGGGAAGUAACUUAGGAGGGUUGCAAUGUAGAGAGAGAGUUUUAGGGGGCAAGAGACUAAUGCGGGGGGACCAGUUAACAAGCUGUGUCAAAAGUCAAGAUGAGAAGUUCUCGAAUUUUAAUGAGUUGCCUGGGGAUCCUGUUAGAAAUGCAGAUUCUGAUUCAGGAGGUCUGGGGUGGGGCCAGAGAUUCUGCAUUUAUUACCCAAGAGUUGUGUACUGACUUGUUAGUGAUUUCAAAUCUGUAUUUUGAAAGCUUGUUUUGGGCAAAGCUGUUUGUGGUUUGAACUUGUUUUGGAUAACUAGUUUUGAUGAAGUUUCACCAGCAACUCAAGAGCAUUCGGUCUGGGCAAGGCUACUCUUUGCUGAUCUAAAUAGCUCUCCGAAGAUCUGGAGACACUUGCUCCUGGUGUGGCCAUGCUACUCUUGGUUAGCACUGGUGUUAAACAAUGCAGCAGUCUCAGGAAGAGAUGGGACAUCUGUUCCUGCCUUGGCGAGGCUACUCCUCGUAGGCAGUGGCACAAGCUGUGUAACCAUCCCUGGAGUAAUAACUUUCAGAGAAGCCCACCUUGCCUGCCAACACUGGCACCAUUGCCCACCAGCUAUGUGCCCCAGGAGUGAAGGACCUAAGCUAGCAGCUGAUAAGCCCAGCUUUUGGUUGGAAAGGUUGACGCUACUGAGAACCAACUCGUAGAAAGGUACACCUCAACUCAGUUUGGACUUUACUUCUUUCAUCCCCCUUUGCCUGGAACAGUAGUGUAAUUAAUUUAUCAUUGGUUUGGAGUAUGUUAUUUUUUAUUGACUUAUUAAGAGACAUUAUCCUGUAUGCCACUGGCUUGUGAAAAAAUUAUAACUAGAAAUUAUAAUUCCUGUAGCAAGCUUGUGUUAAAUAAAUUAUUGGCAAAGACAA